rnacentral:rRNA from 1 species
UACAAGCAGUGGGAGCACCCUUUGGGGUGUGACUGCGUACCUUUUGUAUAAUGGGUCAGCGACUUAUAUUCUGUAGCAAGGUUAACCGUAUAGGGGAGCCGGAGGGAAACCGAGUCUUAACCGGGCGUUAAGUUGCAGGGUAUAGACCCGAAACCCGGUGAUCUAGCCAUGGGCAGGUUGAAGGUUGGGUAACACUAACUGGAGGACCGAACCGACUAAUGUUGAAAAAUUAGCGGAUGACCUGUGGCUGGGGGUGAAAGGCCAAUCAAACCGGGAGAUAGCUGGUUCUCCCCGAAAGCUAUUUAGGUAGCGCCUCGUGAAUUCAUCUCCGGGGGUAGAGCACUGUUUCGGCUAGGGGGCCAUCCCGGCUUACCAACCCGAUGCAAACUGCGAAUACCGGAGAAUGUUAUCACGGGAGACACACGGCGGGUGCUAACGUCCGUCGUGAAGAGGGAAACAACCCAGACCGCCAGCUAAGGUCCCAAAGUCAUGGUUAAGUGGGAAACGAUGUGGGAAGGCCCAGACAGCCAGGAUGUUGGCUUAGAAGCAGCCAUCAUUUAAAGAAAGCGUAAUAGCUCACUGGUCGAGUCGGCCUGCGCGGAAGAUGUAACGGGGCUAAACCAUG